CCUACGGGCGGCUGCAGUGGGGAAUUUUGGACAAUGGGGGCAACCCUGAUCCAGCCAUGCCGCGUGAGUGAAGAAGGCCUUCGGGUUGUAAAGCUCUUUCAGCCGGGAAGAAAUCGCAUCAGCUAAUACCUGGUGUGGAUGACGGUACCGGAAUAAGAAGCACCGGCUAACUACGUGCCAGCAGCCGCGGUAAUACGUAGGGUGCGAGCGUUAGUCGGAAUUGCUGGGCGUAAGGCGUAAGACAGCGGUGAAAUCCCCGGGCUCAACCUGGGAACUGCGGUUGUGACUGCAAAGCUAGAGUAUGGCAGAGGGGGGGGGAAUUCCACGUGUAGCAGUGAAAUGCGUAGAGAUGUGGAGGAACACCGAUGGCGAAGGCAGCCCCCUGGGCCAAUACUGACGCUCAUGCACGAAAGCGUGGGUAGCAAACAGGAUUAGAUACCCCUGUAGUC
rnacentral:rRNA from 1 species